CUGCCUGUCCCUAAGCUUCCAAGCACUUUAUAUCCAUCUUUUCAUACAACAGCAGUAACACAGAGCCCAGGCAAAGUCAUGUUAUGUGUUGGCUUAACUGUAAUGUAUGCAAUCCACUUUACAGUAUUAAAGGAGGCAUUGUUCUUGACUUGAGAACAUGAUCAAACAGCUGCAUAAAUGUCCUCAGUGUGGAGGUGCUCUCAAAUCGGGGGUUAAAAGUCAAGGGAAGGCUUUGAAGUUUAAAGAAAAAAGGUUUUUAGAAGAAGAGGGAAUUUGCAGGUAUAGAAGGGGGGAACUCCAGGGUGAUUGCGACUCGUCUUCUCCAGGUGGACAACGGUGUUUCGUUUCAGGCUCGGCACAGGAGGACAGGCGUCCAUUAGGCAACGCUCAGCACUGAAAUGCAACGUCCCUUCUUUAAUCUCCAAAGUAAUGCCAGAGUGAUGCAUCACUAUUGCAAAUCUAAUGCGCCACUCUGUAGUUUUUCAACCUCCCCCUUUCUCUUCAACUCUGGACACAUUGGCUUAAUGUGUUUUGGCAAAAGUGAUGAUUAAACUCACUCUGCACUAAAUGGGAGAGGGAUUGAAAUGGGUGAUUUUUGAGGGCGGGGGUGGGGUGGCAUUGAGGGGGGAUGAUAGGAGAGAAGAAAUGCAAAUAUUCCCUCUGUGUCUCUUCUUCUCCAUUUAGUGGAUUUAUGUAGCUUUCCCCAUAAUGAAAUAAGCAACGAUCGCGGCCUGCUGUGCAUCCUUAGGGGCUCUCUGAUUGGCCUGUGCCUCAUCGCCUCGGCGUGGCACCUUCACCGACUGACCCGAGAAUACCUUAGUGAGCAAGUGUGGUCAGGCCAGCAUGUUGAUGGAGCUGCUGUCCUCAGACCCCAGGCUCCCUCCUAUCGCGCCGCCCCAUCCCGAGGUUACUCGGAGGGUAAACAAGAGUAAUUAACCGCCAAACAAGAUGGAUGAUUUAUGCAAGUGUGUGUGUAUUCGCUCAUUGGCACAAAGUCAUAAUUCUCUGCACCUCCCACAAAGCACAAGCAGGGCGUAUUUUGAGAGGUGGUACCCAGCGACGAGGUAGAGCGGCUGGCAAACGGUAUGCUCGCAAUGUCCUUCAAGAAUCCUCUUUACAAGACUCCCAUCCCGGCCAUAGCUUUACUUUGCUGUUGUCUUUUCUUGUGCUUGUUCUGUGAUCGUGCAGUUGUCUGUCCUGUUUCGGUACAGCGUGGAUAGGAGCUUUUGUGUGCAUUUUAUUUUCUUUGUUCGCAGUGGGGAAAACAGGCAAAGGGUGGCAAUUGCCAGCCCUCGUGCUGGCAACUGUCCCCUUCAAGAUAGAGAGAAUAGGGACAAGAGAGGGAAGGAAGGUAGAUGGAUAUCAAGAGAUGCUAAGAGGGAGGAAAAGAGCUGAAUGAGGAGGUAGGAUCUCUAAGACCGUAAGAGAUUUUCUAGCUUGGAAUUGGCUGUUUCAAUCAGGCCAAAUGUCAAGUGCUACUCAGCUAGCUGCAGCGAGCUUUGACCAGAAAGCCACUUCUCCCUGGUGAUCAAGGACAAUGACGGGUAUUUCCAUGCACAUUUCUUUUGAUUUUUUCAUUCCUUUUCAGGAGUUAAGAUAGCCCAUUGUUGUAAUUCAACUGUAAUUUGUUCUCUGGCCUGUGUGCAAUUGUGUCAAGCUUGUCGUGGGUGUGCGAGCGUGUAUCACAGUGAUGUACAAGAACUGAUUAAGGGAAUAUUAUUGAGAAAUAACUUGCCCUGGUAUUGUCUAUGCCUGGCUGAGUGCACCAGAUAAUAUAUACAGUUUAUAUUUAUUGGUUAGGGAGCUGGGUCUACGGAGGACCAGACCCCUCACUUCUCUGUUUCCUUGAUGACGAAGAAGUGGAAAGCUAUUUCAGUUUGACGACAUUUCGUUAUGUACAUAAUCUAUAUUGACAAAAUUGUAUUAUAAGUUUUUUGCAAAUAUCAAUUUCUUUUCUAAAAUGAUGUAUCUGCUCUUCUGGUGACUGUAAAAUAAAAAAUACAACCCUU